CUAGAUGUAGAGGAGCCAGGUUUAUCUCGCCUAUUUUGGAAAUAGGAGCACGGCGGUUCAAAUCCGUCCAUUUAGAC
rnacentral:tRNA from 1 species